GUGCUCUUUUCGGCAGCACACAUACCUAAAACUGGAACGAUGCAGAGAAGAUUAGCACAGACCCUGGGCAAGGAUGACACACAAGUUUGUAAAUGUUUGAUAUUUUUU
rnacentral:snRNA from 1 species